GCCCCUCCUUGAUAAAUUUUCUGCGGGCGCCCAUGUCACCAAUAUUCAAUUGUUUUGCUUCAUUUUUUUCUAUUGAAAUUAUAUUUAAACUAGACAUUAAAUCGUGAUGCAUAGAAUUUCUAAAAUAGUUUUUAAAUAUUUUUAUGCAUGAAAAUGUAAAUUCACAAGCUGCCGAUGAAACGGUUGUUGUAAUUACUAUAGUACCAUAGAUAAGUACACAAGUACUACACAAUUUAUAAAUCUCAGAAAAUGUCAUUUCAUAUAGCUUCAAAAAAACCGUGAAACUUAACC